GAUGAACGCUAGCUACAGGCUUAACACAUGCAAGUCGCGGGGCAGCGUGGGGGUUGCUUGCAAUCCCCGAUGGCGACCGGCGCACGGGUGAGUAACGCGUAUCCAACCUGCCCUUCACCACGGGAUAACCCGGCGAAAGUCGGACUAAUACCGUAUGUUGUCCAUUGACGGCAUCCGAUUUGGACGAAAGGCUUGGCGGUGAGGGAUGGGGAUGCGUCCGAUUAGCCAGACGGCGGGGUAACGGCCCACCGUGGCUACGAUCGGUAGGGGUUCUGAGAGGAAGGUCCCCCACACUGGAACUGAGACACGGUCCAGACUCCUACGGGAGGCAGCAGUGAGGAAUAUUGGUCAAUGGGCGUAAGCCUGAACCAGCCAAGUAGCGUGCAGGAUGACGGCCCUAUGGGUGGUAAACUGCUUUUAUGCGGGGAUAAAGUGGCCCACGUGUGGGCUUUUGCAGGUACCGCAUGAAUAAGGACCGGCUAAUUCCGUG
rnacentral:rRNA from 1 species